rnacentral:rRNA from 1 species
GACAGAGGGGGCCAGCGUUGUCCGGAUUGACUGGGCGUACAGCGCGCGCAGGUGGAUGCUGACGUGCCGUGUGACAGCCAUGAGCUCAACUUAUGGUGGCCACGGUAAACGCAGCGUCUGGAGGGUGCGAGAGGCAUGUGGAAUACCCGGUGGAGCGGUGAAAUGCGUAGAGAUCGGGUGGAACACCAGUGGCGAAGGCGGCAUGCUGGCGCAUUCCUGACACUGAGGCGCGAGAGCGUGGGGAGCAAACGGG